rnacentral:rRNA from 1 species
AUUGAACGCUGGCGGCAGGCCUAACACAUGCAAGUCGAACGAGUGGCGGACGGGUGAGCAAUGCUUGGGAAUCUAGCUUAUGGAGGGGGAUAACUACGGGAAACUGUAGCUAAUACCGCGUACCACAGGAUGAGCCCAAGUGGGAUUAGGUAGUUGGUGAGGUAAAGGCUCACCAAGCUGACGAUCUCUAGCUGGUCUGAGAGGGUGACCGACCCCACUGGGACUGAAACACGGCCCAGACUCCUCCGGGAGGCAGCAGUGGGGAAAAUUGCGCAAUGGGGGCAACCUGACGCAGCCAUGCCGCGUGAUUGAAGGAGGCCUUCGGGUUUUAAAGUUCUUUCGGUAGCGAAGCGUUAACUACAGGAGAAGCACCGGCUAACUCCGUGCCAGCAGCCGCGGUAAUUC